UAAUAUCUUUAUUAAUUUUAUUAAAUUAUUAUUUAAAAGUCAUACAUUUACUGCACACUGUCAACUUUCUGCUAUUUUUUUUGUUCUCACAACAACUAGUAAUAUCAAACAAGAGCUAAGUUAAGUAUGAUCAAUUAAUUAAAGUUUUCAUUUUUUGUAUAAAAUAAUCCUUAGAUAAUUAGUCUAUAAAGAGUAUUGGCUACUUCAAAUGGAAACUUGUGAUCAAAAGUGUAUUACAGAAGUGACAAAGGCACACUAUAUGAGAAAUCUGAAAUAGAAUUUGCAAACUUGAACUGGGUUACAGAGAGUUAAUAAGACUCCAAAGGAACAUGGAAACUAUUAUCUUUAUUAAAUAAUAGUAAUACAAGCUAUUAACUGACUAUUAUCUUUAUUAAUUUCCAUAGCGAAAACAAAAUUAACUUUCCUAACUGACUAGAAUUUAACUCAAGGAAAAUUAGAAUAUACGACGUUGUAUCACAUACGGUAUUUAGACAUCAAGAGAAGAUUCCCUCUAUCAGUGAACUAUACUUGCCAGGAAAUUAACCCCAGGCGAGUACCACCACCUCCUACUAUUUCUUAGGUGUCUCAGAGUUUGAUGAGGACUUCCAUGAUGUGUCUCUUCGACAGGCAGCGAAAUUGGGCAAUUGACUACAUUAACUCCAACAAAUUUAUGCAGUCACCUUCCUCCGGACUAUCCUCUUUCUUCGCGCUUUAGUUGCCCUUAUUUCCCCUUUAAUACAGUCAACAUUAUCUUGUUUGAUGCCAAGGAGACCAAGCCCAGAAACAAUGGCAUUCUUUGAUAUCAACCACCUGGGGACUUUUGAGCUGAGCCAUGACAUCCUGAGAUGGCCUGUUGUGUAAGCCUUCUUCAAAAGGUCAUCCGUUAAUCUUUCUCCUAAUUACACAUUCAAAACCCUGCAUGGAAUCGAUUUGAGAAGUUGGACAAUAGACAAACUCCAACACAUAUAGACAGUAAAGAAGAAUUUAGACCGCAAUCACUGUGGCUCAACAAAUGGGCCUAUUAAGCCUAUUAAAAGUUGGAACCAUAUUCACCGCUCGCAUUUCCUUAGAGAACUAUAUCAGAAUUCUGUAAAUGUAAAACUAUUCUUACAUAUUUAACUGUAAAACAAGAGAAAUUGUACUUCCGUAGCAAAGUCUCGCUAUUGGUAAGUAUUGGACUUGGAAAGGAUGCUAGUUGAUGAAGUAAAGGAAAAUUGAAAUCAGACUUUGAGGUGACAGAUCUAUACACUUCAAUAGGAACCACAUUGACAUCAUAUGAGACAAAUAAACAUUCCCCAGUCAAAGUUUAACAAACAAAACAUUAAAACAAGAGUAAGUUGGUCUAUCAAUGUAUAUAUAGACAUGUCGAUCAAUAGACAAAUACGUAAAAGAGGGAGGGAGAGACCUCAAAGCCGUGCUACUCCAAUAACUUCAAAAUUGUUGGUGACCACUCUAUCAAAUCCACCCAAUAGUUGCAUACACUCACCGAUGGGUUUGUCACAGAUAACCUGUUAGGCAUUAAAAAUUGCCCAAAUUAAACAAAUGUUAGACCAGCUUAGACAGUAAACGGAACAAUAUUCUAAUUUUACUUUAUUUAUAACGAAUAAGUGAACAAAGGAAUAAAAAGGAAUUUUGGCAAAGAAUCCUGCAGCUAAUCCCACCAUACACCGCUCUGCAGGCUUAUUUGGGAAUCAAAAUUCUCAAAAUGUACUAAGAAAUGACAUUUGUUUACUAGUCCCACCAACAAGGAGGAAGUGACGUGAAGAGAAUUUACUAAGAAAUGCCAGUGUAUUAAUAUUGAAGGAAAACAUUCACAGACGACCAAAAUCGCUGAUAUAUACUUAAUUUCUCACUCACUAAGAACGUUCAAUUCAUUCAAAUGAAACUUCCACAGGAAGGUCUCAUUAUUAAGGCUUUAGCUUCACCUCACAUGCUCAACAAUUCAAAUUUGAGGAUGAUAUUUCUCCGAAUGGAGGGCUCUAUUUGGCUUGCCAAUAAUCUUCCUCAC
rnacentral:lncRNA from 1 species